rnacentral:lncRNA from 1 species
AUUUAAAAUACAAAAUAUUAGUAACUGUAUUACAUUACAGUUGCUGUUUAAAAAGGUGAUAAUUAGAAUACAGUUACUUUGUUGAAAGAAAUGGAUUACACAGUGGUCUUUUCCUGUUUCAUAUGUUAGGCUAUCCCCUCUCUAAUUUUGGUAAUUUCAUGCAUUGCCGGAAACCCAAACAAAAGAGGCUCUAAUGUCCUGUUCAUGUUGGUGGCGUCAGUUACACAAUGGACCCAGAGCCAGCACAACAGAGCCAGCAGUGCACGAGCAGGAAUGCAUUUCUUACUUGGAAAUUCCAACACCACUUCACAUUUAAAGAAGAAAGGGAUGGGCAAAAUCUGACCGUUCAACGCAAACUCUAUUUGCCAGCAACCAAGCUGCUUUCAGCAUCAAAAGACUCCACCUCCAACUUAAAGAAACAUCUGGAGGGGAUCAACAGAGAAUUACACCGAAUUCUGAGGUUUAUGUUGGCAGUCCACCAGCCUGUGCGAAGAUAAUCAUUAGAUCAAGACAGAGAAUCCACGAUAAAACACAAAAGUAUGUCUCCCACGCACUGGAUCAUCUCCUCGUAUUUGACUUGUUGAUGUUCCGGUCUGAGACCCUUUGUGAAGAGAGAAUAAUUGGUGAACGGGAGGAGCAGUUUUAGAGAUGUAAAGCUCUUGUUAUCACGUUUAAAAACUGAAGCAUGACUUAUGAGGUUUGGUCUCCUUAACCUCGAAGAAAGGUGAUUAUAAGGUUUUGGUGAAUUUCUUGUGAAAGUUUGUCAUGGUUUCACCAGAUUCCCUAAGGCAAACCCCAAAUUAUUGUUUUUGGGAUAGUAAGGAAAGGAAAUUUUUUUUUAGAAAAAAAGCUGGUUCCCAUAAAGUCUGCCAAACUGUGCUUAUGUCAUGAUAAUGUACCAAUCUGUUAAGGCAAGACUGUUGGGUAAUUAAAAGAUAAAUAAAUAAGGACUUGUCAGAGCAAUGACUGGAUUAUCAUCAAAGAAAAUGAUUUCUUGUGAUACAUUUAUUACUGAAAAUAAUAAUAAAAACAUUUUUUAAAGUGAUAACAGGAUUGUGGCCUCUUGUGUUAAUCCAGUCCUGACUUGCCCUUGUUUGGUAACAAACAUUUAACAGUGAGUUCUAUAAAAUGCUAAUUUUACAGAACUAGUAAAUUCUCUUAUUAAAUGGAGAUUAAGUAUCGGAAUUUCAGGAGUGGGACCACGCCUCCAAACACGUU